rnacentral:rRNA from 1 species
AGUCACUGACAUUAGAUACCCGGGUAGUCCAGGGUGUAAACGCUGCAGACUUGGUGUUGGAAGCCCUUUGGGGGCAUUCAGUGCCGGAGAGAAGUUGUUAAGUCUGCUACUUGGGAGUACGUCCGCAAGGAUGAAACUUAAAGGAAUUGGCGGGGGAGCACCGCAACGGGAGGAGCGUGCGGUUUAAUUGGAUUCAACACCGUAAACUCACCAGGGAAGACUGUUACAUGAAGGCCGAGAUGAAGACUCUGCUAGAUUUUCAG